ACUCAAAUGAAUUGACGGGGGCUCACACAAGCGGUGGAGCAUGUGGCUUAAUUCGAGGCUACGCGAAGAACCUUACCCGGGUUUGACAUGCACGGAUUAGCCGGCUGAAAGGUCGGUGACGCCCGCAAGGGUGGAACGUGCACAGGUGCUGCAUGGCUGUCGUCAGCUCGUGUUGUGAGAUGUCGGGUUAAGUCCUCUAACGAGCGAAACCCUUGUCCCUAGUUACCAGCGGGUCAUGCCGGGAACUCUAGGGAGACCGCCGGUGUUCCAAGCCGGAGGAAGGCGGGGACGACGUCAAGUCCUCAUGGCCUUUAUGCCCGGGGCUGCACACGUGCUACAAUGGGGUGAACAAAGGGUCGCAAAACCGCAAGGCGGAGCUAAUCCCAUAAAUCAUCCCCCAGUUCAGAUUGCGGGCUGCAACUCGCCCGCAUGAAGCCGGAAUCGCUAGUAAUCGCAGGUCAGCUACACUGCGGUGAAUGUGUUCCUGAGCCUUGCACACACCGCCCGU
rnacentral:rRNA from 1 species